rnacentral:ncRNA from 2 species
AGCAGCCGCGGUAAUUCCAGCUCCAAUAGCGUAUAUUAAAGUUGCUGCAGUUAAAAAGCUCGUAGUUGAAUUUCGGGAUCAAUAUGUUGGUCGUGCCUCGGUACGUACUAGCUUAUUGGUUUCUCCCUUCUGACGAACCAUGAUGUCAUUUAUUUGGUGUUAUGAGGAAUCAGGACUGUUACUUUGAAAAAAUUAGAGUGUUUAAAGCAGGCUCACGCUUGAAUACAUUAGCAUGGAAUAAUGAAAUAGGACGUUUGAUUCUAUUUUGUUGGUUUCUAGGAUCGACGUAAUGAUUAAUAGGGAUAGUUGGGGGCAUUAGUAUUCAAUUGUCAGAGGUGAAAUUCUUGGAUUUAUUGAAGACUAACUACUGCGAAAGCAUUUGCCAAGGAUGUUUUCAUUAAUCAAGAACGAAAGUUAGGGGAUCGAAGACGAUCAGAUACCGUCGUAGUCUUAACCAUAAACUAUGCCGACUAGGGAUCGGAUGAUGUUAAUUUUUUAAUGACUCAUUCGGCGCCUUACG